AUGUACCACUCGUACACUGCGGUCCCGAGCGCAGCGCCCGCACCCACCUGGCAUCGCUCGCUACGUUUUGCUAGCC
rnacentral:sRNA from 2 species